rnacentral:rRNA from 1 species
UACGAAGGGGGCUAGCGUUGUUCGGAAUUACUGGGCGUAAAGCGUGCGCAGGCGGCUUCUCAAGUCAGGGGUGAAAGCCCAGAGCUCAACUCUGGAAUUGCCUUUGAGACUGAGUGGCUUGAGUACGGGAGAGGUGAGUGGAAUUCCCAGUGUAGAGGUGAAAUUCGUAGAUAUUGGGAAGAACACCGGUGGCGAAGGCGGCUCACUGGCCCGUAACUGACGCUCAUGCACGACAGCGUGGGGAGCGAACAGG